UACGUAGGUGGCAAGCGUUGUCCGGAUUUAUUGGGUUUAAAGGGUGCGUAGGCGGUCUUUUAAGUCAGUGCUGAAAUACUCCAGCUUAACUGGAGGGGUGGCAUUGAUACUGGAAGACUUGAGUGCAGUCGAGGUAUGCGGAAUUGACGGUGUAGCGGUGAAAUGCUUAGAUAUCGUCAAGAACACCGAUAGUGAAGACAGCUUACUAGGCUGCAACUGACGCUGAGGCACGAAAGUGUGGGGAUCAAACAGG
rnacentral:rRNA from 1 species